UACGGGGGGGGGCAAGCGUUGUUCGGAAUUACUGGGCGUAAAGGGCGUGUAGGCGGCCAACUAAGUCCGACGUGAAAUCCCCAGGCUUAACCUGGGAACUGCGUCGGAUACUGGAUGGCUUGAAUCCGGGAGAGGGAUGCAGAAUUCCAGGUGUAGCGGUGAAAAUGCGUAGAUAUCUGGAGGAAUACCGGUGGCGAAGGCGGCAUCCUGGACCGGCAUUGACGCUGAAGCGCGAAAAGCUAGGGGAGCAAACGGGG
rnacentral:rRNA from 1 species